UCUAUCUCUCUUAAGCCCUAUGUACUCUUCUGGAGAAUUGUUACAAAAACUUCCCACCCAUUUACCUAGCUUUCUGAUUAUGGUAGCUGUUUUCAGCACUAGGUGGAAGGGACUGUCUUUAAAUGCUUUGGGCAGCACUACCAACUUUAAUGGUAUGACAUACAAAUGUUACAAAAUAAUACUACCUUAGAGUUUGGAAAUGCUCUUGAGGCAAGAGGCUUUCCCCUCUGGAGGGCAGGAGUACUCAUGUUGCUCACCAUUGACCCCUCCAGCUGAUUAAGGAGUGGCACAAUCUAGAUUCUAUCUAGAAGAUGGACUAGAAAGCAUCAACUGUUUCUGAAGGGAGUUGCAUCCAUUUUUCCACACCAAAGAGGACAGUAGCCAUUGCAUAGAGUUGUGAGGAUGGGAAGUGAAUGGAGAUGGAAAAAAUGGAAAGAUACUCAGGAUUGUGACAGACAUGAGACUUUCUUCCUGUAUUUUUCUUGAAGCAGGCAGCUGCAAUGACCAGGUCAACAAAUAUCAGAACAGAUUAUUUGGGUAUGGUCUGUGCUACAAAGGGUGAACGCUUUAUAAAAGAUGCAAUUGCCUGAAAAACUGUGAGUGCAUACAGGAAGCUGCUGUUCCAGCAGUGCAUUGCUUUGACUCCUGCUUGGAUGUCACAAAACAUUCUUGAGAAAUGGAGGAAAACAAAGGGCAGAGUGCUGGAGCCACCAGAACCCAAUUCACUGCUGUAGGUGACCUCAGGAGAAGCUGGCAGAGCUGGGCAGAAGAUCACAUUGAUUAUCAGAGACAGAAUCCAUUCAGCAAUGAUAGCAAGCCCGUGACUAAGUCUGUGCAUCCCCAAAGAGGAGAUCCCAUCUAUGGGAGACCGCCUGAAGGGUCUAAAACAGAGCAAAGAGGGAAAGAUGCCCACACACAUGUGGGAAAGGAAGUGGAAGAGCUAUGCUUGAUCAUGAGAAAUACUGGGGAGAAAGGAGAUGAUGGAAAUGUAAGAGUGACAUUCCGACAGCUGUUUGAAACAUAUGUGACUAUUUCCAAUAAAUUAGUGGGAAUCCUGCUGAGAGCAAGAAAAUAUGGGCUGGUUCAGUUUGAAGGUGAAAUGCUUUGGCAAGGAAAAGACGACAAUGUCAUCAUCACCUUACUUGAAUAAUACUGAUGAAUGUUUCCAUUUAGGAAAAUAAACCAUCUAAAUGUCA